CCUACGUGGGGCAGCAGUGAGGAAUAUUGGUCAAUGGGCGCGAGCCUGAACCAGCCAAGUAGCGUGAAGGAUGACUGCCCUACGGGUUGUAAACUUCUUUUAUAAAGGAAUAAAGUGAGGCACUUGUGCCUUUUUGUAUGUACUUUAUGAAUAAGGACCGGCUAACUCCGUGCCCGCAGCCGUGGUAAUACGGAGGAUCCGAGCGUUCUCCGGAUUUAUUGGGUUUAAAGGGAGCGUAGAUGGGUUGUUAAGUCAGUUGUGAAAGUUUGCGGCUCAACCGUAAAAUUGCAAUUGAUACUGGCAGCCUUGAGUACAGUUGAGGUAGGCGGAAUUCGUGGUGUAGCGGUGAAAUGCUUAGAUAUCACGAAGAACUCCGAUUGCGAAGGCAGCCUACUAAACUGCCACUGACAUUGAUGCUCGAAAGUGUGGGUAUCAAACAGGAUUAGAUACCCUUGUAGUC
rnacentral:rRNA from 1 species